rnacentral:sRNA from 1 species
UCAAAACUAGAUGACUAUUGGAGAGCGC